UACGAAGGGAGCUAGCGUUGUUCGGAAUCACUGGGCGUAAAGCGCACGUAGGCGGAUUUGUAAGUCAGGGGUGAAAUCCCGGGGCUCAACCUCGGAACUGCCUUUGAUACUGCAAAUCUCGAGUCCGAUAGAGGUGGGUGGAAUUCCUAGUGUAGAGGUGAAAUUCGUAGAUAUUAGGAAGAACACCGGUGGCGAAGGCGGCCCACUGGUUGGAUACUGACGCUGAGACGCGAAAGCGUGGGGAGCAAACAGG
rnacentral:rRNA from 1 species